rnacentral:lncRNA from 1 species
AUGGUUGACUACCUCCAGAAAGCAGUGCUGCUCAACCUGGGCACUAUUGAAUUGUAUGGCUCUAAUGAUCCUUAUCGGAGAGAACCCCGAUCUCCUCGUAAAUCUCGACAACCUUCAGGAGCUGGUCUGUGUGAUAUUAGUGAAGGGACUGUUGUUCCAGAGGACCGCUGCAAAUCUCCAACUUCUGGUUCUUCAUCACCACACAAUUCAGAUGAUGAACAAAAAAUGAAUAAUUUUAUAGAAAAGGUGAAGACCAAAAGCAGAAAGCUUUCCAAGAUGGUAGCCAGUGAUAUAGGUAGGAAAUAGAAAUUUCUAUUUUGUUUCUAAUCCUUGCUAUAUGCAGUGCUAACCCAACACCAGAAAAUUAUUCAAUGCAUUGUAUUUUCAUGUAAAUUUGUUGUUCCUGUGCUAAAAAAAUAAUCUCUUGGGCUGUCUCUUCUAAACUCAUGGGACAAUAAUUAUUAAAAAUCAGUUCAAUUGGGUUGCAGUUCUUUCUCUGACUUACAGUGUGAAUUUCUCUGUUAAUUUUAUUUUUGCUCUACUUUAAAAUAAAGCAGGGUUCAAUUUAUGCCAUAAAUAACACAAUUUUAUACCCCCAAGUUUUGAAGCAACUGUUUCUUUAUUAGUUUUAUUUUUGUUUUUUUCUACCUUUAUUCCAUCUCUCUCAUAUUUUCAAGACCCCAUAUUUCAAGGAAACAGUUUUCUGUAAGAUUGACUCUUUCAGUCUAUAAUCUGUACAGCCUUUAGCAAGGUUAAGUAGGAAUUUUCUACGACUGCCCCCACUUCCGCAAGUAAAAAAUGCAUUGCUUCUUGUGAUUGUUUUUGUGAAUAUAUGUUGAGAUGAAUUACUCAGUCCAAAGUUUUCAAAGUUUAAAAUGAGGGAACAAAAUAUGUAAUAAUCAAACUUUGAAGACAUAAUCAAAUUAGGGUUUUAAGGUCAUGGAAGUUCAGAUGUUCUCCAAAGAUUUUUAAAGGCUUGAAAAACACUUUUAGAAAAAGAGGAUACGUUUGGUCUUUGCUUUAAAUUCAAAAUUUUUAUUAUACAGUUACCAUAUUAUUUCCUCCCAAAACCUCUAGCAUAUAUUCCUUGAAUUCAGUCAAAUCAGAUGAAUUUCUAGGCAGGUGGAAUAGUUCUACUUUUUCUCAACUGAUGAAGUUUUAAAUAUGGUUAAAUUUUCAAAAGUUCUUAGAAGUAACACCUAUGUUGUCUGUAUUUUGUAAAUUGAACCCUGUUUAAUCAUGUUAACGAUGGCUGACUGUUAGCCCCUGGUUAUUUUUUAAAUAAGGUGGUUUAUUCUUGGGCAAAGGGCUCUUCAUUUAUGGAGAAUCAAUUAUUUGUCUUUGUAUUUGUGGGUUUUUAGUGACUCUUUUGAUAAUAGUUAAAUCACUGUAAUUAUGUACUAGCGCUAUAGCAUAAUAGUCUUUAACCAAUUUCGUUUAUUUUAUCUUAAUCGUACAUUAGAGGUUCUUUUGUUGUCAUAUUAUGCAAAAAGGUUGAAAAGAUUUUCUUACAUAUAUUUUACUAAACAACUUUUAAAAUUAAAUUACCUAGGGAUUUUACCUUGCAUGAAAGGGAAUUCGUACAUAAUUUUUUUAAAAAAUUUUUCUGUCUUAUAUUUUGUGCUGGGGUUUUAUUUGUUUAUUGUCUACCUUCCUAUUUUUUUCUGUGUUUUAAAUAGAAUGUGUAACAUGAAAUACUUGAGCUUGACUAUUUGAAAGACUACAUUAGCAAAUUUAUCAGUGUUGAUAAUGUUAUUGGAAGGAUAGUUCUUUGAUGGCAUUCUUGCUUUAUUUUUAUCUUAUUGGUGAGUUUUACUUUUUGUCAUGCCAGUUUCUGUAGUUACGUAUUUUGAGGGAAACGUGUUAACUUUAUUCAGCUUUUCAAAAUUGUGUUAGUACACAGUUAUGCAUAGUUAUUUUUAAACCUCAGGAACCAUUGUUAUAUCCCCAGUUUUUUGUGUAAUUUUCUUUGGCUUUGAUUGAAACCUUACAGUGUGUGUGUGUGUUUUUUAAUCACAAGAUUUGGGUAUAUAGAAGGAAAGUUAGUGUCACAAUUUUUUUCUUCCUUCAAAGGGAGACUGCUCCAUUGUAGACUGUAGAGUGUUUGCAGUUGAAAAAGUGACACAUCAGUUUAUCUCUCUACAUUAGUAUCUAGCUUUGUUAUAAGAAUUAGCAUAACAUAUGCUAUUGAAAAACAUAAAAUGUCAAUGAAACAUUGGAAAAUAACUCAUAGAUCUUCUGAGGACCUUCAUCAAGACUGGUAUUUUGUGUGUGAAGCUGUGGUGUCAAAAGUAUUAGGAUUUCUUUAGCAUUUUGAACUCACCUUAUCAUCCGAUCUAGUACCUGCUAUGAAGUAUGGUGAACCUCAUGAACUUACCACUUCUUGCUUCCUCAACAUACAAGUAUUUAUAGCUUCAACUUUAGGUAGUUACGCAGUUGCCUCGUAAGGGAAAAUGUAAGAAUUAGAACCUUCAGCGUUGCACUAGUCAAAGAACUACUUUGUGUGGAAGGUGAGUAAAUAGCUUGACCCUGAAAGUUUGCCCUGAAUUUUACCUGUUCUUUGAGAGUAACUGCUGCUGGUGUCAGAGUUUGUGUGUGUGGGUGUGUCUGGGUGUGCUGUGGGUGGGUGGUACAGGAUGUCAGUCACAAUUUAAUGGUUAAUCCAAGCAUGGAAAAUCAACCACCCUACCUUUUUUAUGUUUUUUAAACUGCCUGACAGUACAGCUGAGAUAGCUGAGACUGUAAUGGUAAGCUGUUUUGAAUGUGUUUAGCCUUUAUCUUGUAAUUUUUCUGCCAUGUUCCAGCAUUUUACAAAUAAUUUUUCUCAAUCUACUCAAUAAUCCCAGUGGGUUAGUUACUACUGUUUCCUUGUUUUACAGAUAAGGAAACUGAAUUUAAGUAACAUAUCUAUUGCUACACAGCUAAUAAAUGAGAGCAGGAUUUACACCCAGGUAGCCCCACUCCACUGUCUGUCCUCUUAAACAUUGUGCUAUAUUAUUUCUUAAUAUAAUUUACCAAAACCUAUAAGGAUUCAAAAGCAAAUUCAUGGUGUGGUUAAUAACUAGAUAAUUUGGUUAUGGCCCUGUUCUGUCUACACAGUAAUCUGGACAAAAAGAUUGGCUCAUACUAAGUUCUGUGUUAGAGCCAGAUCAUGGAUGCCAUCUUGAUACCAAUCAUCCAAGCAUAAUACAGUAUCUAGAAGUCUACCUUCAUCAAAUACUAGACUCAAGGGAAAGGAAUUCUGGAGUACCAUAGCCCAUCUACCCAAGGCCUAUCUUCAUAGUUUAUUUCCUGAUUGAAAACCAAAUCAGAUGAAUGAUCCUGACAAUGACCUUGUUCUUGCAUAUAAGAGCAGCCUAUAAAGAAAUAUCUUUAGUCUUGUGAGUUUGACAGUAAAAACAUAAUAGAAUAUAAUGUAAUUGCAGUAUCCACAAAGAAAGCUUCAUUCAUGUAAUAUGUAUGCGUAUGGUAAUUUGUUUUGCCUGUGUACACCUUAUAAAUUGUUAUUAGGAAAAUCUUAGCUAUUAACAUUUUCAAAAUCCAUAGUUUUUCCUGUACUGCUGUAAAUCACUUAUUUACUCAUUUGUUUUAUAAAAAUUAAAAAGUACAGAAUUUUGCAAAGCUUUUUAUUUUUAAUUCUUAUAAAAAUAGUCCUGCAGUGUGUAUCUUUGUUAACAAUGUAUUAAUCAAAUUUUUCAUGAUAUCCUUAUGAAUAAAAUACAGUCUACAUGCUAGCAUUGUUUGAUAAAUUUGAAACUACAUGAUUAACCUUUUCUGAAGAUUAUUCUGUUUCAUUAUGGUUUUGUUUCAUGCUGAAAGUAGAUUUCUUGCUGGAACCCUUGGUCUGUGACCUGGCCUAUUGGCAGUUUUAUUACUAAUUUUCUUAGAGAAGGAAUGAUUACCAAAUUCCUUCUGCUUACAUCAACUUGUGAGGAGAAAAUAAUACUAAGGAUAAAAAAUAAAAACUCAAAAUUAUGAUGACUUAAAUGAGUGCUUUGUCAAAACAGGUAGAAAUAUUAGCUUCAUUUAUUGGGUGCCUCAUAAAUUCUAGACACUAUACCAGGUUAUUUUUUUCAUGUAGUAUUUAUUAAUAGAGGGAAAAUUAUACUUCUAAGGUCACUUUUAUCUCUUCAGUUCUGAGUUAGCAUCAUUAUUUAGGUAAGGAUUAACUUAGCAAAAACUGGAAUAAUUUUUGAAUUCUGUUUAAAUGACAAUAAUGUUUGUUCAAGUCCUGUUUUUAUUAGUUCUCUUACACAUGAAUCUCAGUGAUUGCUUUUUUAAAGUGUUCCAACACAACUAAAAUCUGCUCUUUGUUGUUUUACUCUACAUCACUAACUCAUUAACUCCCGCAAUUUUAAAGCAGUUCUGACACCUUAUUUUUCAAGAAAAGAUACUGAAUCUCAGAGAAGUUAAGUGACACAUUCAAAGUAAUACCCCAUGGUAGUGACUUAGGACUAGAAUUCAGGCUUCUUGACUCUUGUUUUACUAUAUAUGCCAUGUUUCACACUUCAUAUUCAAGUUUCCACUUUUUCUUUCUUAUGUGAUUGCUUUUUCUUGUAUGUCUUCUCAAUUCUUUUGUAUUUACAAGUUGAAAAAUAAAUUCACCAGGGUUCAUUUAAAUUUGUUGCCAUAUGAAUGAAAAAGUUUAUAUUAAAUUAAUUAAGUAGUAUUUUAAGGUAUCAAAUUAUUUAAUUCAUUGUAAAACUCAAAAUAGUGCUGAUAUUUCUACUUUACAUUCCCCAGUAUUCAACCUAAAAUGUGGCUAUUGAAUUUGUAGAAUUUAGCCUUUAUACUCAGCCCACAAUGGCUGUUGAAAGAAGAGAUGCUCACUUUGAAAGGGUUGAUUAGUAAAAUCAUUUUUACAGGUGAUUUUAAUAUUUUGUAUUUUGAAAGAAAAGUAUUACCCUUAAUUGGUCAAGAAUAAAUUUUAU